rnacentral:miRNA from 1 species
CGUCUUAGCCCACAAAACGAA